rnacentral:rRNA from 1 species
UACGAAGGGUGCAAGCGUUAUUCGGAAUAAUUGGGCGUAAAGGGUGCGCAGGCUGUAUGCUAAGUCAACUGUUAAAGUCUUCGGCCUAACCGGGGGUGAGCAGUAGAUACUGGCAAACUAGAGGAUGGAAGAGAGAAGUGGAAUUCUCGGAGUAGCGGUAAAAUGCGUAGAUCUCGAGAGGAACACCGAUGGCGAAGGCAGCUUCUUAGUCCAUUUCUGACGCUCAUGCACGAAAGCGUGGGGAGCAAACAGG